AGCAGAGUGGUGCAGCAGAAGAAUGCAGGGCUCAUAACACUGAGGUCAAUGGUUCAAAACCAUCUUCUGCUA